AAAUUGAAGAGUUUGAUCAUGGCUCAGAUUGAACGCUGGCGGCAGGCCUAACACAUGCAAGUCGAACGGUAGCACAGAGAGCUUGCUCUCGGGUGACGAGUGGCGGACGGGUGAGUAAUGUCUGGGAAACUGCCCGAUGGAGGGGGAUAACUACUGGAAACGGUAGCUAAUACCGCAUAACGUCGCAAGACCAAAGUGGGGGACCUUCGGGCCUCACACCAUCGGAUGUGCCCAGAUGGGAUUAGCUAGUAGGUGGGGUAACGGCUCACCUAGGCGACGAUCCCUAGCUGGUCUGAGAGGAUGACCAGCCACACUGGAACUGAGACACGGUCCAGACUCCUACGGGAGGCAGCAGUGGGGAAUAUUGCACAAUGGGCGCAAGCCUGAUGCAGCCAUGCCGCGUGUAUGAAGAAGGCCUUCGGGUUGUAAAGUACUUUCAGCGAGGAGGAAGGCGUUGUGGUUAAUAACCACAGCGAUUGACGUUACUCGCAGAAGAAGCACCGGCUAACUCCGUGCCAGCAGCCGCGGUAAUACGGAGGGUGCAAGCGUUAAUCGGAAUUACUGGGCGUAAAGCGCACGCAGGCGGUUUGUUAAGUCAGAUGUGAAAUCCCCGGGCUCAACCUGGGAACUGCAUUUGAAACUGGCAAGCUUGAGUCUCGUAGAGGGGGGUAGAAUUCCAGGUGUAGCGGUGAAAUGCGUAGAGAUCUGGAGGAAUACCGGUGGCGAAGGCGGCCCCCUGGACAAAGACUGACGCUCAGGUGCGAAAACGUGGGGAGCAAACAGGAUUAGAUACCCUGGUAGUCCACGCCGUAAACGAUGUCUACUUGGAGGUUGUGCCCUUGAGGCGUGGCUUCCGGAGCUAACGCGUUAAGUAGACCGCCUGGGGAGUACGGCCGCAAGGUUAAAACUCAAAUGAAUUGACGGGGGCCCGCACAAGCGGUGGAGCAUGUGGUUUAAUUCGAUGCAACGCGAAGAACCUUACCUGGUCUUGACAUCCACGGAAGUUUUCAGAGAUGAGAAUGUGCCUUCGGGAAC
rnacentral:rRNA from 1 species